GAUGAUGUUGCUGAUGCU
rnacentral:miRNA from 1 species